UCCCUAGUAGCGGCGAGCGAAGCGGGAAAAGCUCAAAUUUGUAAUCUGGCGUCUACGACGUCCGAGUUGUAAUCUCGAGAAGUGUUUUCCGUGAUAGACCGCAUACAAGUCUCUUGGAACAGAGCGUCAUAGUGGUGAGAACCCAGUACACGAUGCGGAUGCCUAUUACUUUGUGAUACACUUUCGAAGAGUCGAGUUGUUUGGGAAUGCAGCUCAAAUUGGGUGGUAAAUUCCAUCUAAAGCUAAAUAUUGGCGAGAGACCGAUAGCGAACAAGUACCGUGAGGGAAAGAUGAAAAGCACUUUGGAAAGAGAGUUAACAGUACGUGAAAUUGUUGGAAGGGAAACACAUGCAGCCAGACUUGCUAUUCGGGGCAACUCGAUUGGCAGGCCCGCAUCAGUUUUUCGGGGCGGAAAAUCAUAGAGAGAAGGUAGCAAUUUCGGUUGUGUUAUAGCUCUUUAUUGGAUUCGCCCUGGGGGACUGAGGAACGCAGCGUGCUUUUAGCAUAAGCUUCGGCUUAUCCACGCUUAGGAUGCGGGUGUAAUGGCUGUAUAUGACCCGUCUUAACA
rnacentral:rRNA from 1 species